rnacentral:lncRNA from 1 species
CUUGUGCAAACAGCUGAAACAAAAAGCAAUGAAAAAAAAAAAAAAAAUUGGGUGUGGCCGUGACAGUGGCGGGGGUUGCGGUCAAUUUCGCCCGCGAGGCUUCUUUUU